rnacentral:rRNA from 1 species
UACCAGCUCUCCGAGUUGUAGGGAUGAUUAUUGGGCUUAAAGCGUCCGUAGCUGGCUUAGCAAGUCUCCUGUUAAAUUCAGCGACCUAAUCGUUGAGCCGCGGGAGAUACUACUAGGCUAGGAGGCGGGAGAGGUCGACGGUACUUUCGGGCUAGGGGUGAAAUCCUAUAAUCCCGGGAGGACCACCAGUGGCGAAGGCUGUCGACUAGAACGCGCUCGACGGUGAGGGACGAAAGCUGGGGGAGCGAACCGGAUUAGAUACCCGGGUAGUCCCAGCUGUAAACUAUGCGGGCUAGGUGUUGGGGUGGCUACGGGCCACUUCAGUGCCGCAGGAAAGCCAUUAAGCCCGCCGCCUGGGGAGUACGGCCGCAAGGCUGAAACUUAAAGGAAUUGGCGGGGGAGCACCACAAGGCGUGAAGCUUGCGGUUC